GACGAACGCUGGCGGCGUGCUUAACACAUGCAAGUCGAACGAUGAACCACUUCGGUGGGGAUUAGUGGCGAACGGGUGAGUAACACGUGGGCAAUCUGCCCUUCACUCUGGGACAAGCCCUGGAAACGGGGUCUAAUACCGGAUAACACUGCCACGGGCAUCUGUGGUGGUUAAAAGCUCCGGCGGUGAAGGAUGAGCCCGCGGCCUAUCAGCUUGUUGGUGGGGUGAUGGCCUACCAAGGCGACGACGGGUAGCCGGCCUGAGAGGGCGACCGGCCACACUGGGACUGAGACACGGCCCAGACUCCUACGGGAGGCAGCAGUGGGGAAUAUUGCACAAUGGGCGGAAGCCUGAUGCAGCGACGCCGCGUGAGGGAUGAC
rnacentral:rRNA from 1 species